GCGGAAGUGGCGGAAUUGGUAGACGCGCUGGAUUUAGGUUCCAGUAUCGCAAGAUGUGAGAGUUCAAGUCUCUCCUUCCGCACCA
rnacentral:tRNA from 1 species